rnacentral:rRNA from 1 species
AUUGAACGCUGGCGGCAGGCCUAACACAUGCAAGUCGAGCGAGCGGCGGACGGGUGAGUAAUGUCUGGGAAACUGCCUGAUGGAGGGGGAUAACUACUGGAAACGGUAGCUAAUACCGCAUCCCAUCAGAUGUGCCCAGAGGGGAUUAGCUAGUAGGUGGGGUAAUGGCUCACCUAGGCGACGAUCCCUCGCUGGUCUGAGAGGAUGACCAGCAAAACGGGAACUGAGAAACGGUCCAGACUCCUACGGGAGGCAGCAGUGGGGAAUAUUGCACAAUGGGCGCAAGCCUGAUGUAGCCAUGCCGCGUGUGUGAAGAAGGCUUUCGGGUUGUAAAGCACUUUCAGCGGGGAGGCGUUACCCGCAGAAGAAGCACCGGCUAACUCCGUGCCAGCAGCCGCGGUAAUAC